rnacentral:rRNA from 1 species
GAUGAACGCUGGCGGCGUGCCUAAUACAUGCAAGUCGAGCGAAAAGACGAGGAGCGUUCGCCCCUGACGGUAGCGGCGGACGGGCGAGUAAGACGUGGAUAACCUUCUUAUAAGACGGGGAGAACUUCGGGAAACCAGAUCUGAUACCGGAGAAUAUAUCGUACCGCAUGGAUCAAUAGUGAAUGGCGGCUUGGCUGUCACAUAGAGCUGAUGCCGGGUCGCAUUAGCUAGUUGGUAAGGUAACGGCUUACCAAGGCAACGAUGCGUAGCCGACCUGAGAGGAUGAUCAGCCACACUGGAACUGAGACACGGUCCAGACUCCUACGGGAGGCAGCAGUGGGGAAUCUUCGGCAAUGGGCGAAAGCCUGACCGAGCAACACCGCGUGAGUGAUGAAGGUCUUCGGAUCGUAAAACUCUGUUAUUAGGAAAGAAAAGAUGUGUAAGUAACUAUGCACGUCUUGACGGUACCUAAACAAAAAGCAACGGCUAACUACGUG